AUCAGAGUGUAGAAUGUAGCCACACAUCAGACCUAUGCGUGUCAGAUCUAUGUGUGACGACCAGCAUCACAACUGCAUGGCACAGAUAUGGCUCCUGUUGAUGACCAUAUCACAGCAUGGGCAGCAGCUUUUACAUCACCCCCUGUCCUCUUCUUGUCCGUACUGAUUCUGCUCCUAUGCAUCAUUUUACUCUCUCUGUGUUCCUCAUGUUAUAGUCACACAACGGCAGCAGGAGGUCAACCAUGUUCAUCCCUAAAACAAAAGGUCUCAACACAGCAGGUGGGUGGACCGCUGGAGCUAAAUGCAUCCCAUCUCUCAAUUUCAGAUGACAAUUGUUUCAGUGUUAAGAAAUACAACUGGGAAGCACAAAGAAGACCCAACCCUCCCAUGAGAAGUCUAACUAUGGUUCAUAAUCAGCAGACCAAAACCUCCGCACAUAAUCGAGGCCUAUCUCAUGGCUAUUUUAGCGGGACAUGGGCUACCCCCGAAUAUGACAGGUUUGCCCAGAAUUUGGAACAUCUGCACAACCAAACCAGAAUAGCCUCUGUCUCACACCCUGCAUUUCUUAACCAAGCAGGACGCUCCAUGCAUGGUUUUGAGGGCACCGGUA